rnacentral:lncRNA from 1 species
AAAAAAAGUAUUUUUUGCAAUAAAAUCCUAUACUAAAUCAUUGAAUAAUCUACCUAUAAAAGUAGCAAAUAAUCUUUUUGAUUCUUUAGUAAAACCAAUUAUGACCUAUAAUUCAGAAGUAACAUAUUUGGAUACAUAUAUUUCUUUUCAUCGAGCCAAUAACAGAGCCUUAUCUUCAGGAAAAGAAAUUAAUCAACUUGAUUUUAUAGACAAAACCCCCAUUGAAAAUAUGCAUCUUAAAUUUUGUAAAUCUACUCUAGGAAUAAGAAAAAAUGCAUCCAAUUUAGGAGCAAGAGCUGAAUUAGGGAGAUUGCCUAUCGAAUGUUUUAUUAAAACACAAACCCUUUUAUAUUUAGCUAGACUAUAUAAUAAUAAUAUUAAUCCAUUGAUAAAGGAAGCUUUUUCUCUAGCACAGUCUCUAGAUUUGACAGGAACUUACUCAUGGUAUACAUAUGCAAAAAAUAUUGUUAAAGAGACUAAUGUUGACCUUAAUAUUCUUUCUACUUGUAAGGACAUAAAAGAUGUAAAUAAAUAAAAAAACGAUAUAAAGUUAAAAAUGAAAAAUAGAUAUGAAGAUUUAAUUCAAAAUAAAUUUCAAAACAUUGAUGAUAAAAGUAAAUUUUUUCUUUAUAAAAAAAUUAAAAAAGAUUACAAACUAGAAUCUUAUCUUAAUACAUCUAAUUUUCAGAUAAGGAGAUUAAUCACUAAAUUUAGAAUAAGUGAUCACUCCCUUUUGAUUGAAAAGGGGAGAUAUUUUAAAAUCCCAAGAGAGGAACGACUUUGCCAUAAAUGUAAAAUACUAGAGGAUGAGAAACAUUUUUUACUCUAUUGUGAGUAUAAUAAAACUCUAAGAAAUGAUUUUUUUCAUCACAUAUGUACUGAAAAUAAUAACUUUAAUAAUUUAAAUGAAGAAGAAAAAAUUCAAUAUUUACUAAAUCCAUCAUCGCCUUUACAAACAAAUAAGUUAGGAUCCUUCUUGAAAAAGUCAUUAGAACUGAGGGCAGGGGACUCUUAACAACUUGUUUGUUGUUAAAAAAAAAAUUUGAUGCUGUUGUUAUUGUGUAUGUUUAAUAUGUAUGUUUAUUGUGUUUAUUGUGUUAAUAUAUGUUGGUCACAAACUGUAAAGUUUAUAUGACAAUAAAAUAUUUGAUUUGAUUU